UACGUAGGGGGCAAGCGUUGUCCGGAAUCAUUGGGCGUAAAGCGCGUGUAGGCGGCUUGGUAAGUCUGCUCUGAAAGCCCGGGGCUCAACCCCGGGAGGCGGGUGGAUACUGCCGAGCUCGAGUCCGGAAGAGGCGAGUGGAAUUCCUGGUGUAGCGGUGAAAUGCGUAGAUAUUGGGAGGAACACCAGUGGCGAAGGCGGCUCACUGGACCGGAACUGACGCUGAGGCGCGAAAGCGUGGGGAGCAAACAGG
rnacentral:rRNA from 1 species